UGCCAGACUCCUACGGGAGGCAGCAGUGGGGGAUAUUGCACAAUGGGGGGAACCCUGAUGCAGCGACGCCGCGUGGGUGAAGGAGCGUUUCGGCGCGUAAAGCCCUAUCGGCAGGGAAGAAGGAGGACGGUACCUGACUAAGAAGCCCCGGCUAACUACGUGCCAGCAGCCGCGGUAAUACGUAGGGGGCAAGCGUUAUCCGGAUUUACUGGGUGUAAAGGGAGCGUAGACGGCAAUGCAAGUCUGGAGUGAAAGGCGGGGGCCCAACCCCCGGACUGCUCUGGAAACUGUAUAGCUGGAGUGCAGGAGAGGUAAGUGGAAUUCCUAGUGUAGCGGUGAAAUGCGUAGAUAUCAGGAGGAACACCGACGGCGAAGGCGGCCUGCUGGACUGCGACUGACGUUGAGGCUCGAAAGCGUGGGGAGCGAACAGGAUUAGAUACCCUAGUA
rnacentral:rRNA from 1 species